rnacentral:rRNA from 2 species
UACGGGGGGGGCAAGCGUUGUUCGGAAUUACUGGGCGUAAAGGGUUCGUAGGUGGCUCGCUAAGUCAGACGUGAAAUCCCUCAGCUUAACUGGGGAACUGCGUCUGAGACUGGCGAGCUCGAGUGCAGGAGAGGAACGCGGAAUUCCAGGUGUAGCGGUGAAAUGCGUAGAUAUCUGGAGGAACACCGGUGGCGAAGGCGGCGUUCUGGACUGCAACUGACACUGAGGAACGAAAGCCAGGGUAGCAAACGGG